UACAGAGGUCCCAAGCGUUGUUCGGAUUCACUGGGCGUAAAGGGUGCGUAGGUGGUGGGGUAAGUCGGAUGUGAAAUCUCCGAGCUCAACUCGGAAACUGCAUUGGAAACUACCCUGCUAGAGGGUCGGAGGGGGGACUGGAAUACUUGGUGUAGCAGUGAAAUGCGUAGAUAUCAAGUGGAACACCAGUGGCGAGGGCGAGUCCCUGGACGACUCCUGACACUGAGGCACGAAAGCUAGGGGAGCAAACAGG
rnacentral:rRNA from 1 species